AAGCCUCUGAGUAAAGCAGAAGGAUCGUUGCUUGUGAUGGAACCCAUUUGAGUAGCUUUCUGAAGCAGUGCCGUGGCUGACACGUUAGAACCCACGUUCAAGCUUUCUUCAGGGUGAUGAACAAGAACGUCGGAGCUAUAUAGAGAAGGAAGACUCGUCUCUGAGUUCUUGAUGUUUUCUUGAAAGAAUCCGAGGUUGAAGAAGCUGUUGUUGGUGCUACUUUUGGAGUUUAUGUUGUUGACCGGAUCAAACUGGUUUAGACCUUGAUGGUUCAUGAAACUCUGAUCGUUGUUGUUCGGUACAGUCAGCAUUCCUUGGCUCGAUUGGAUUAAGAAGUUAGGGUUUGACGUCUGCGGAACAAAGUGUCUGCUAUUUUCAGAAGAUGCAAUGUUUAGAUUGUAACCCGCGAGAGGCGAAAAUCCAGAGUUUGGAUGGCCACUCAAAUGGUGGUGGGAUAGAGUCCUGCCACCAUCCAGUCUCCCGUACAAUCCACCGGAGCCGGCGCCGCUGCUAGCAGCUUCCAUUGACGUGAAGCUCAAGGUAGGGUUUCUAGCAGUCUCUUGUAUCAAUGCAUCACAGAAAGCCCUGUGUGUAAUGUAACUAUCGCGUCUGGAAAAGAAAAAGCCCAAACAUUUUUUAGCUUAUUGGAUUAUAUAUAUGUAUAUGUAUUUUGCAAACUAUAUAUUAUGUAAAUGUUGCAUAAUCAUCAUUAAUGAAUGCUAUAGUUAUAAUGGCUACCAUUUAUAGGAGAGAAUGAUAGAAGAAUAUAAAGGUCGAGUUAAUUGCUACUUUAAUGAAAGACCUUCUUCAUUUAAUAUGUUGCAUAUGUUGACGUGAAUCAUCAUCAAUGAAUGCUAUAGUUAUUAAUUAUGGUUACUAUUUAUAUAUAGGAGAGAAUAUUAGAAGAACAUAAAGCUCGAGUCACUUGCUACUUUAAUGAAAGACCUUCUUCAUUUAAUGCAAAGCCCAUGAAUGUUAAUAUAAGUCAGUCACAUUCUACAACAACGUAUUUAACUCAAACCAUGAAAAUAAAGAAAGAAACCCUAGAACAGCAUUAAAGUGUUUAGCAGAACACUAUAAUGAAAUAAGUAACGCACUUUAACCAAACAUAUAUGUAUCUAUGUAUGCAUGUGUCUAGAGAGAGAAAGAGAUAAGACAGGGUCCACAAAAGAAGAGGAGUUUCAUAAAAAGGGGAACCUGCAAAAGUGAAGAAGAAGAAAACAAAAGUGGAAAAUGAAAAAACAGAUCUAACUCAUACAUGUGACCAAAUUUAGCAUCUUUUAAAUUUUCUCUCUUUCUCUUCACUGUGUUUCUCUAUUCAGUACUCAUCAACAACCAAACAAAUACAGUGAUAGAUCCUAUGUACAUAAUCACAAUAUACAUUUUAUGGGCGAUGUACUCGAGGUUCAAAUUCCAUGGCCAAAAAUAUAUACGAUUUCAGUUACAGUUCAUAUUAUAUAUUUGGUAUAUUUCAUGUAAAAUUAGUAAAAAAUGUAAGUUUUAUAUGCAGUGUUGAAUGCAGCUUUUUACUUAAAAUAGAUUUUCAAUACCAAAAGAAAUGAUGGUCCAUGGUAUCAUACUUUACCUAGAUUAUCUAGAUACUACAGACAUAUAUAUUAUAUAUACGUUUCAUCACUUAAUUAGCCCAAAUACGAACAAAUUAUUUAAAUGAAAUGGACAGAUACUAGUUACCUAGAGAAGAUGGUACCACAGUCACAUCGAUACUCUUUAGUACCACAGGUCUUAGAGUGAGCUUUCCAAUCCGAUUGAACAGCGUAACGCUUAGAACAUUUAUCGCACUUCCACUUCUUUUCUCCAUGUUUACGGUAAUAGUGCUUCUUAAUUCCGGUGAGGUCUCCGAGAGCACGUGAGGGGUCAUGGUGGACGCACGUGGGUUCCGGACAAAGAUAGACUUUCCUCUUUACUUCUUUGGUUGACUUCUGUUUGAGUUUCCAUGGGAGAUUGUGUCCUCUUCGGUGAAGCUGUAGGUUUUGUUCUCUUUGAAACCCUUUCUUGCAUACAUCGCAUAUGAACCUGUUUGUAGCCAUUAUUGUCUUUGGAGAUAAAGCUACCACUUCCGCAUCAGGAUCUAUUUGAUAAAUUAAAUUUAGUCACCAUUCAAGAUCUUGCAAUGUUAAUCUAUGAGGAGUAAAUCAAGAAAUUGAUAAAAGAAAAAAACGGUAAAGAACAAAGUACAAACUACAAAACUUUCAAAGUUCAAGAUAAAAUAUCACAAUGAAUCAAUAAGAAUCAACAGCAAGAAUAACAUAAUCACAUAUAGCGACAAAGCAAGCCAGAGCAAGGCACGACAAGAAGAUAGCACAUGAGAAAAAGAUCAAGCAAGGCACAACAAGAACAACAUAAUCACUUCAAGAUCAAGUCAAAGUCGAACAAAAAUCAUGUCGAACUUGAACAAAAAACAUAAACAAACUCGAACAAAAAAGAUGAAUAGAACACAAUUUCGAACAACAAACAACAAGAAUAAACUCGAACAACAAACACAUCAAGAUCAAGUUAAACGCAAAAAAAAAAAAAAAUCUCAAAAAAUUAGAGAUUUGGGUUAUUCGAGAUCGAUUUCUAGACGCCUCUGGUGGAGGAGAAUACUUUCAGUUUGAUAUCUGCGUGAUUUUUGGAUUUAUGGUUAAUAAAUCCAAUUUUACUUUCUCAAUCGUCGAGAUAUUCAGGGGAAUAGAAACAUUGAAGUAUACAAGGGAAAGUGUGAAGUGGGGCAUCGGGUUUCAAGAGUCAUUAAGUCUAAUAAUUUUCCAGAAAUACCCGCUCGGGUCCCGGGCUGGUUAUAGACCCAAAUCUGCUACUCACAGGUCCCUCAUCGUUAAUUAGACCCAAUAGAGUAAAAUUCUCGGUUCCGGUUUUGGACCUGAACCUGCAUUUUUGGUUCGGUUCUGAAUCGGGUCCUCGGAUCCGAGUAAAAUGCCCAGGCUUAAUGAGAGAUUUCACAAUCCGAAUUCAGACAGAAAUUUAGUUUCAAAAAUUUAAAACUCACCAUCUAUAUCCAAACAUAGACUUCUAAAUUUUACUUUUUUGUACUUAUUUCAAAUCAAAUCAGAUGAUAGAUGAUGCCAGAUUAUGAUUUCAUGAUAUAUAGUAGGAAUGUCUAAUCAACAAAUAAAUCAUCAUUUAAAGCGAUUCCCUUGUUACAUAUACAAAAUAUAUGUCACUGAUUUUUGAAAUUCACUACACCCGCAAUCAAUGUUUUAAAUAUUUCAGUAAACUUAUAUGCGGAUUUGGAAUAACCAACCAAAUGGCCAAAUGGUUCAAAAGAUAUAGAUCUAGUUUAUACAUAUAUAGAAAUCAUUAGUUAUUAAUUAUAAUACAUGAUAAUGAAUAAUACGGAGAUAUUGGAUGCUUCUGUUUGGACUAUACUUUAUAUUGGAAUAUAACCGCUACGAUUGGCGUAUUAUUAUUCACGUCGAAUAUGCUCAUAUAUUUUCCAUGUGCAACGUGGGAUGUGUAAUCUAGUUUAUAAAUCAAAUCUAGUAUUUAUACAUCGUAAGUAUGCAUUUGUAUAAUAUUCAGACACUAACAAAUAUUUUUCUUCGUUUUUUAGUAUACUAGAUCCUAACCCGUUUUAGGGAGAAACAAAUUUAUAAACGUAAAAGUCUGAAUGUUAUUACAUAUUUUUUUCGGUGUAAAUAAUUUUAUUAUAUAUAUUAUUAUUUAAAUAAAUUUUAAGUUAAUUUGUAUAUAGUGGAAUUUAUUUAUAUGAGAUACUAUAAUAAUGAACAAGACAUACAUAAUCAUAGGUUGAAUUUCUCAUUUAUUAAUAUUAUUUUAAAUAUAAAAAUGAUCUUAUAUAGAGUGUACUUUGACUUCCAUUUACAAGUUUAUAAAUUAUAUAAUAUUUAUGUAAUAUACUAGCUAAUAUAAUACAUAUAUUUUAACAUCCGUUAUAUUUUAAAAUUUAUCAUAAUUAGAUGUGGAGGUUUUAUCUGUUUAUGGGGUUGUGUUAUUUUAUUUUAUAUGAUUUUAGUAUAUCUUUUUAUCAAAACGAAGUUAGUAUACAUUUUGAAUAUUCUAAGUAAGUAAUCUAGAGUACAUAUAUGGUUAUGGAACUAGCCGUAUUUAAAAGUUUGUAUUUAUUUUAUGGAUUUUGAAAACCAAAGAAUCAAUAUAGAAAGUUGGUACGUAACAUGGUUAGAUUCUAAUAUAUAUAUAUAUAAAUAUAAGUGUAGAAAUGUAUCAAUUGAUUUACAAAUUUAUUUCAAGAAAACUAUCUAAUAUAGUCUAAAAUAUGCAAUUUUUUUUCUUGAAUAUCAUAUUAAAAAUAGGGAAAAAUAUUAAUUAUAAACUUAAAAAAGAAACUUUUUCAAUAAGUUUUGAACUAUUACCUUCUGAACGAAUGUGUACUUUGAAAAUGUGAGAGCUGUGAGGAUCCGUGUUGAGAUUUCAUGGUUAUCACGUUCAGAACCUAUAAGGUUUUGGGCAAAAAAAAAAACCUAUAAAGGUAAUUCACAAGAACGUUAAUUUAAAUAUCCACAUAUGAAUUAUACGAUUUUUUGGCCAAAAUAACUUCUUUUUUGGCCAAAUAACUUGUUCAUAUUAAAAUUCUUUGAAGUUUGUACCAACUUUUCUCCAAAUAACCGCAUCAUACCUCUUCAUCCAUUCCGUUUAACCCACUUUUUUAUAAAAUAUUGUUUGUCAAAAUGCAGAAUAAAAGUUGGCAUAUAAUUAAGAAAGUUGCAGAAGCAAUAAAUUGGCAUAAAAUUAAGCUAAUCGUUUAUAUUCAAACCAUAAUAGUUUAUACUAUUCAGUUAUAAACAACAAAUUAAGUAGCAAACUUCUAUAUAACAACUUAACAAAAGACAUAACCUAAUGAUGAGAGUCUCAAACUUAAUAGAGUUCAGUGAAAGAUCUAUUAUAUGUAGACUAUGAUUAUGAAAGCAAGAAAGGAAGAUAGCAAAAUUAUCACCUAACUAGUUAUAGGUGAGUAGGUUACAAUAAUAAGAUAUUUUCAAGAUCUUCCAAAUGGAUGAUUUUGCUCCGAAAACUUCAGUUCACCAACGUCGCCUCCACGACCACGGCCGCGAUUUACAUUUCUAACCAUUCCUCCAACUCCAAGAAAAUCUAACGUUAACUUGUCCGAGCCGCUCAUAUUUCCAUUGUUUCCGAAAUGAACAUCGAAUAUAUUGCCACCGGAUCCGCCGGCACCACCGCCAUUUACUGCGACUAGUGAGUUCAUUAGACCUUGAAGAUUACCGUUAUUAUCGUUCCCCAUAAUCUGCCCUCCUCCAAAAUCAUUACUUGACGAAGAAGCUAAGCCUCUGAAUAAAGCAGAAGGAUCGUUGCUUGUGAUGGAACCCAUUUGAGUAGCUUUCUGAAGCAGUGCCGUGGCUGACACGUUAGAACCCACGUUCAAGCUUUCUUCAGGGUGAUGAACAAGAACGUCGGAGCUAUAUAGAGAAGGAAGACUCGUCUCUGAGUUCUUGAUGUUUUCUUGAAAGAAUCCGAGGUUGAAGAAGCUGUUGUUGGUGCUACUUUUGGAGUUUAUGUUGUUGACCGGAUCAAACUGGUUUAGACCUUGAUGGUUCAUGAAACUCUGAUCGUUGUUGUUCGGUACAGUCAGCAUUCCUUGG
rnacentral:lncRNA from 1 species